rnacentral:miRNA from 1 species
AAAAUAGUAUUAUUGAUAAUAAUUUUAGCGACCAAUUUAAAAUCGGUCGCUAAAAAAAUAAAAAUAUUAUUAUUUAUAAUAAUUUUAGCGACU